GGCCUAAUACAUGCAAGUCGAGCGCGCCCUUCGGGGUGAGCGGCGGACGGGUGAGUAACGCGUGGGAAUAUGCCCUUCUCUAAGGAAUAGCCUCUGGAAACGGAGAGUAAUACCUUAUACGCCCUUUGGGGGAAAGAUUUAUCGGAGAAGGAUUAGCCCGCGUUAGAUUAGGUAGUUGGUGGGGUAAUGGCCUACCAAGCCUACGAUCUAUAGCUGGUUUGAGAGGAUGAUCAGCCACACUGGGACUGAGACACGGCCCAGACUCCUACGGGAGGCAGCAGUAGGGAAUCUUAGACAAUGGGGGCAACCCUGAUCUAGCCAUGCCGCGUGUGUGAUGAAGGCCCUAGGGUCGUAAAGCACUUUCGCCAGAGAUGAUAAUGACAGUAUCUGGUAAAGAAACCCCGGCUAACUCCGUGCCAGCAGCCGCGGUAAUACGGAGGGGGUUAGCGUUGUUCGGAAUUACUGGGCGUAAAGCGCACGUAGGCGGAUUAGUAAGUUAGAGGUGAGAUCCCAGGGCUCAACCCUGGAACUGCCUUUAAUACUGCUAGUCUUGAGUUCGAGAGAGGUAAGUGGAAUUCCGAG
rnacentral:rRNA from 1 species